rnacentral:lncRNA from 1 species
GCCUUUUCACCGUCGUAUGUGACGUCAUUUUCAUAAUUUACUGCGUUGAGGCCUGGACUGAGUCGGGUGUGUCUAUUCUGUGUUGGUCAUUCAUUAUGUAUUCGUGUUUGUUUUAUGUAAUGAGUUAAUACUUCAGUUUCAUUAUGUAUAUCUGUUAUAUUCAUUUGAUAAAAUUUACUGUUUGCAAUAGCAUUAAUUGUUCUAAAUAAUUAGGAUGUUCUUAUCCCAAGCAUACAAACUUAGCCGUAUUUGACACAACCUUUUUCAACUUUUGAUCUUCAGUGCUGUACAACUUUGUACUUUUUUUCGCUUUCGAUCUUUUAUAUCUGGGCGUCACUGGUGAGUCUUGUGUGGACGAGGCGCGUUUUUGGCGUAUUAAAUUUUAAACCUGAUGCUUUUUGUUAUUCAUUAAUC